CCAGUGAUUAAUGCCAAAGCCCUGUUGCCUGGGGAGAGGGUGAUGUUUGACUUUCUUGUACAGCUGCAGUUUGUGUGGUGAAGGUGCUCCCACAAUGUGGUUGGAUCAUUCAGCUGUGGUUUCGCUGGAUAGGGGUUUGUCUUUUGUCGACGAGCGACGUGAAAACUCGGAAAGGACACUCCAUCAUGUAUGAUGAGUGCGAUAAAAAGAUUCCAGUGAUUAAUGCCAAAGCCCCAUUGCCUGUGGAGAAGGUGAUGUUUGACUUCCUGUCCAGCUGCAGUUCAUGUGGUGAAGGUGCUCCCACAAUGUGGUUGGGUAACUGCUGUUAUAGAUUAUUCACUCAGCGACAGUGAAGAGUUGACAAUGUCACCGUACAGCCUCUGACGGUCCAGGGAAAACAGCCUAUCCAACCCUGGCAACAUCCUGGACUUCUUUUCGGACCCCUUUCAAGUUUGAGAACAUCCAUCUGACAGGAAGGAGACCAGAAUUGCAUGGAAUAUUACAAAAGUUGCCGAAUCAAUGUCCAGUACAGCCGCAAUAUGACCUCCCAACCCCUACACUCAAUGCUCUUACCAAUAAAGACAAGCAGACCAACUGCCGCCUUCACUAAUCUAUCUGCUUGCUUCUCUACCUUCAAGGAACUAGGAAACCUGCACUCCAAGGACUCUUUCUUUAGCAGCACUCCCUAGGAACUUAUUAUAAACUAAGUCCUGCUAAAGUUUGCUUUUCCAAAAUGCAGCAGCUCGCAUUCUUCUAACCUGAACUCCUCAGCCCAUCACCCAUCUGAUCCAGAUCCUCUUGUACUCUGAGGGUGCUAGAUGGUGAAGGUUUGCAGACUGAAAUCUCAAAGCCAUGUGCAGAUUGUGAUUAAGUUAACCAGCAUUUGAAGAACCAAACAUGGGGAAUCACUUGGCCAAAAUCCUGCAACCCUCUCCUCACAGCAUUGUCGGUCUCUCUGCGCCAAAUGGACUGUGAAUGGUUUAAAACAGCAGCUCACAACCAUCUUCUCAAGGGUAACUAGAGAUGGGGAAUAAAUGCUGGCUGAGCCAGUGAUGCCCAUAUCCUGGAAACGGUUUCUAUCUCUAGUUGCUGAAACCCCGUUGAUGUUACUGCAGGAUGGUGAGGGACGCUGAGUGCAUCCUCCAGGAGGCAGCACCAUCACAUCACCCCUGCCUACACCCACACAGUAACACCGCAACAUCACUGGAACAAAAGGCAGUGAAGCUCAAGGAGGACUCAGAUAUAGUUCUUCGAGGUAGAGUCAUAAAACGGGAUUAGAACACAGCAGGAACAGGAGACAGCUGGAUGGUCAGCUGUUACCCAUUGAACGGUGGAGCAGGAUUGAAAGGCCGAAUAGCCUCCUGCUGCUAUCUCCCAGGUAUAUAUACAGCCAUGGAGCCUGGGUAGUGAGAAGUGGGCAGGGCAGGGAUUCUGCAGGCGAAUGCACUUCCACAUCAGUUUUCAGUGAGGGACGGUUUGAUGGAUUUUAUUUAACAUUUAUCUUUAACACAAGGUUUGUGAAUUUGUUUUUAAAAUGUUGUAGCUGUUUAUUCCACAAUAAAUAAAACUAAAAGAAAUGAAUUGAAA